AGACAGCUAAAGCAAGGUACCCACUUCCCAUGGACAGCGGAUAUCUAAAAGAUGGGGAGGAGACCUCCAUCUUUCGUAAGAAUCACAGUCGAGCAGGCUCCUUGAAGAAAAAAGGAAAAGAACCAGAGGUGGUUUUUUUCCGUCUUGUUUUGGAUAACGCAUGGGCAAUGUGACAAUGUCGCCCCUCCCCUCCCCUCCCCCUCCCUUCCCUACUCAACACUUCUGUGUUCGUUCCAAAUCUCAGCCUCUCGUACAAGGCAAAGCAUGGGCCAAACUGCUGUCUUAUUGCGCCCCCCACUGCCGGUGAGCCGCAGAGAUCAAAAGAACGAUGGAGCGCAGUCUCUCUCUCCCUCCUUCCCUCCCUCCCUCCCACCCACCCAUCCUUCCUCGGCACCGCUGGCUUUCAGAACACCGUUCUGUGGUCACGCAGGCGAACCCCCCCCGCCGCCGUUUCGGGGUGGUUCCUCCUGAAGCGCCUUCUCUUUGCCCUGCCAGAGGGGGCCUCCCGCAGCCUACAAGCUACCUCCCGAGAGCUCUGGCAAGCAUCCUUGGGCGCGAGAGUUCGGAGGCUGAGCGUCUUCAGGUGGGGACCGAUUUAGGGCACCGCUGGGUGGGGUGGGGAGGCUCUUCUGCCGGCCCCGGCCCCGGCUGCAGCCAAGCCUCAGCUUCUCUUCAGCGCGCCGAACCCAUCCAAAUUCACCUCUUUCUCGGAGAAAGGAAGAAGAUCUGGGUGGCUUUGAAGAUCGUUUCCGAGAAUUCAGGGUGGUGGCGGCGGUGGUUUUCCUUCCUCUGGGCCAGGAGAAAAAGGAGCAAUAAACCUGCUGGGAUUUGCCUCGGAGAUGAACGAAAGAAGGAUGAUAUGGAGCAGACACCAAAGGCAGAACAAAACCAAUCACUUCUCAGCAACCAGUUANACGGAGCGCCCGACGGAAGACAUCUGACUGGACCGAGAAAUAAAUCCCUCCGCACUCUUUUGGCUUUACUCGGGCUUACUUCUCACGAGGUGCGCUCAAGCUUUCGGUCGAUUGCAGCUAAUUCCGACGGCAGCGUGAAAAGCUCUCAUAUUUCAAUAAACGGAAUUGAAUGACCUUGAACGUCGUCGGAGCGCUGUGCCUAUGCGUACUCGAUCCGCGACACUUGGGAUUGGGGUGCCUGACUUAGAAAUAAUUAACAAACCGUGCUGUACACCUUUCAGGGCUAACGAAUUUCUUUUGGCCUCGGACCUUCGGUAGCCUUCAAGGUGCCAUAAUUUUUACUAGUAAAAAAGAUAGUCUUUAAAAUAAAUAAAUAAAUAAAUAAAUACA
rnacentral:lncRNA from 1 species